UGGUUCUGGCAUCGAUGAAGAACGCAGCGAAAUGCGAUAAGUAAUGUGAAUUGCAGAAUUCAGUGAAUCAUCGAAUCUUUGAACGCACAUUGCGCCCGCUGGAAUUCCAGCGGGCAUGCCUGUUCGAGCGUCAUUUCACCCCUCAAGCCUUGCUUGGUGUUGGAGCACUACCGCCUUUACCGGUGGUAGGCUCUGAAAUCUAGUGGCGGGCUCGCUAAGACUCUGAGCGUAGUAGUUUAUCACCUCGCUUUGGAAGAAUUAGCGGUGCUCUUGCCGUAAAACCCCCAACUUCUGAAUUUUGACCUCGGAUCAGGUAGGAAUACCCGCUGA
rnacentral:misc_RNA from 1 species